rnacentral:rRNA from 1 species
UUCGGAGUCCUCGGUCCUCGGAUCGUGUUCUCUCAGAUCCAUCAUGCCAACCGUCCAGUGGGUCCUCUAAUGCCUGAGCGCGGAGGGCUUCUGGGGUUUCGAGCGGCAUUCGACCGCGUGGAGAGCGCUGGUCGCCAAGUCCGUGCGGCCCAGCCGUCGGUGCUACAACUCAUGACCUCAUUGGGGUAGGACAACCCGCUAGACUUAAGCAUAUUAAUCAGCGGAGGAAAAGAAACUAACCAGGAUUCCCUCAGUAACUGCGAGUGAAGUGGGAUCAGCUCAAUGUGUGAAUCGGGCUUGGGGUACCUCCCGGAUCCGAGUUGUGCACUAUGGACGCUUUGUCUGCGUCUGUAACGGCGGUGGAAGUCCGGUGAAACACGGCACCUCAGAGGGUCACAGUCCUGUACCACCUGCCUGCACUCGCGCCAAUGACAAGCGCUCCUCGAGUCGCGUAGUUUUGUAAUGCUGCGCCAAGUGGGAGGUAGAGACCUUCUAAGGCUAAAUAUGAUGACGUGACCGAUAGCACACAAGUACCGCGAGGGAAAGGUGAAAAGCAACCAUGAAAAAUGGGUUGAAACAGCAGUGAAAGCGCCACCGGGAUAAGGGCUAUCGGGUGCUGGGGCUCGUUGGGUGUGCUUCAGUGCUACCCUUUGAGACGGCCCGCGCAGGUUGAUGUUGGGGCGAUAGAUGCGCCGCAGGAAUUCAGC